CGUGUAGGCGGUUACCUAAGUCCGAUUUUAAAGACCGAAGCUCAACUUCGGGAGUGGAUUGGAUACUGAGUGACUUGACCUCUGGAGAGGAAACCGGAAUUCCUGGUGUAGCGGUGGAAUGCGUAGAUACCAGGAGGAACACCAAUGGCGAAGGCAGGUUUCUGGACAGAAGGUGACGCUGAGGCGCGAAAGUGUGGGGAGCGAACC
rnacentral:rRNA from 1 species